rnacentral:tRNA from 1 species
CGGGUGUAGCUCAGUUGGUAGAGCAUCAGCUUCCCAAGCUGAGGGUCGCGAGUUCGAGCCUCGUCACCC